rnacentral:rRNA from 1 species
GAUAAACGCUGGCGGCGCACAUAAGACAUGCAAGUCGAACGGACAGAAACCUUAGUUUACUAUGGUGGAUGUUAGUGGCGGACUGGUGAGUAACACGUAAGCAACCUGCCUAUCAGAGGGGAACAACAGUUAGAAAUGACUGCUAAUACCGCAUAUGCCUAAGUACCACAUGGUACAAUAGGGAAAGGAGCAAUCCGCUGAUAGAUGGGCUUGCGUCUGAUUAGAUAGUUGGUGGGGUAACGGCCUACCAAGUCGACGAUCAGUAGCCGGACUGAGAGGUUGAACGGCCACAUUGGGACUGAGAUACGGCCCAGACUCCUACGGGAGGCAGCAGUCGGGAAUAUUGCGCAAUGGAGGAAACUCUGACGCAGUGACGCCGCGUGCAGGAAGAAGGUUUUCGGUUGUAAACUUCUUUUACCGAGGACGAACAAAUGACGGUACUCGGCGAAUAAGCUCCGGNUAACUACGUG